GAUGGAGUUCGUAUGACAUGGAAUUCUUGGCCAAGAACCAAAGUUGAAGCAAGCAAAUGUAUAAUCCCAAUUGCUUCUUCAAUUCAAUUGCUUCGUCCAUUCCCUGAUCUACCUACCCUACCUUACGCCCCCCUUCGUUGUAAAACUUGUUCAUCAAUCUUAAACCCCUUUUGUCGUGUUGAUUUUCAAGCUUUAAUUUGGAUCUGUCCGUUUUGUUUCCAACGUAAUCAUUUCCCUCAGCAUUAUUCAGGAAUUUCGGAAACGAAUGUACCUGCUGAGCUUUAUCCCCAAUUUACUACUAUUCAGUAUGCGAUUCAGAACCCUGGUGGUCAUAAUUCUCCACCUGUCUAUUUGUUUGUGUUGGAUACUUGUAUGUUGGAUGAAGAAUUGGAGUUUGCUAAAUCUGCAUUGAAAAGGGUUAUUGGACUUUUGCCUGAUUAUGCUAUGGUGGGGUUUAUUUCGUAUGGUACACAGGUGCAGGUACAUGAACUUGGGUUUUCGGAUAUGUCGAAGGUUUUUGUGUUUCAGGGUUCGAAGGACUUGUCGAAAGAUCAAGUUUUGGAUCAGUUAGGACUUGGUAGUAUUAGUGGUAGGAAGGGUGGUGGUGGUGGUGUUGGGGUGAAUGGUGGACCUAAUCAUGGGUUGACUAGGUUCUUGUUACCUGCUUCUGAGUGUGAGUAUACACUUGAUUCGUUGCUAGAUGAAUUGAGUACGGAUCAAUGGCCUGUGACACCGGGAAACAGAGCUUCGCGCUGCACUGGGGUGGCAUUGAGUGUGGCAACUGGUCUGCUUGGUGCUUGUUUGGCUGGGGCAGGUGCUCGGAUUGUUGCAUUAGUUGGGGGUCCUUGCACUGAAGGACCUGGCGCGAUUGUGUCGAAGGAUUUAUCGGAACCUGUUCGUUCUCAUAAAGAUCUACACAAGGAUGCUGCACCAUUUUUUAAAAAGGCUGUUCAUUUCUACGAGGAACUCGCAAAGCAACUUGUCAGUCACGGUCACAUCUUAGAUGUUUUUGCUUCAGCACUUGACCAGGUUGGAGUUGCAGAGAUGAAAGUAGCUAUUGAAAAGACUGGAGGACAAGUUGUUCUUGCUGAAAGCUUUGGGCAUUCAGUUUUCAAAGAUUCCUUCAAGCGUGUAUUUGAAGUUGGUGAACAGUCUCUUGGGCUUUGCUUCAAUGCUACAUUAGAGAUCAACUGUUCCAAGGAUAUUAAAAUUCAAGGG
rnacentral:misc_RNA from 1 species